rnacentral:rRNA from 1 species
AUUGAACGCUGGCGGCAUGCCUUACACAUGCAAGUCGAACGGUAACAGGUCUUCGGAUGCUGACGAGUGGCGAACGGGUGAGUAAUACAUCGGAACGUGCCCGAUCGUGGGGGAUAACGGAGCGAAAGCUUUGCUAAUACCGCAUACGAUCUACGGAUGAAAGCAGGGGACCGCAAGGCCUUGCGCGGACGGAGCGGCCGGUGGCAGAUUAGGUAGUUGGUGGGAUAAAAGCUUACCAAGCCGACGAUCUGUAGCUGGUAUGAGAGGACGACCAGCCACAGUGGGACUGAGACACGGCCCAGACUCCUACGGGAGGCAGAAGGAGGGAAUUUUGGACAAUGGGCGAAAGCCUGAUCCAGCCAUGCCGCGUGCAGGAUGAAGGCCUUCGGGUUGUAAACUGCUUUUGUACGGAACGAAAAGCCUCUUUCUAAUAAAGAGAGGUCAUGACGGUACCGUAAGAAUAAGCACCAGCUAACUACGUGCCAGCAGCCGCAGUAACAC